CAGAUCUGUCUAUAUUGAUGGAGAAGAAAAGCAAAAGAAAGUACAUGUGAGGCAUGAUCUUAAGGUUCCACAAAGACAGCUAUAUCUAAUAAAUUCAGCACAGGAAAUCAAUUCAAAACGGGAAUGCAGAGGAAGAUCUGAGUUCCUGUGAUCUACCAGAGAGUGACUGCUCCCAAGAACAAUUUUCAUUUACCUUUGUGCAAGGCCAUAUUUUAAAUAUCUAGCAUGUAUGGCUCCUGAAUAUGAAGCAAUCGAG
rnacentral:lncRNA from 1 species